GACGAACGCUGGCGGCGUGCUUAACACAUGCAAGUCGAACGGAGUGGCGAACGGGUGAGUAACACGUGGGUGACCUGCCCUGCACUUCGGGAUAAGCCUGGGAAACUGGGUCUAAUACCGGAUAGUGUGGGAUGGGCGCGGGGCCUAUCAGCUUGUUGGUGGGGUAAUGGCCUACCAAGGCGGCGAGGGGUAGCCGGCCUGAGAGGGUGGCCGGCCAGAUUGGGACUGAGUGACGGACCAGACUGCUACGGGAGGCAGCAGUGGGGAAUAGUGCACAAUGGGCGGAAGCCUGAUGCAGCAACGCCGCGUGGGGGAUGACGGCCUUCGGGUUGUAAACUCCUUUCACCUACGACGCGGUAGAUGAAGAAGAAGCACCGGCUAACUACGUGCCAGCCGCCGCGGUAAUAC
rnacentral:rRNA from 1 species